CAGAACCAGGAAAAGUUGCCUGCCCGCAAACCCACAUAAACGUUGAAGUGCGCAUGCGGAGCUGUUCUGACUGAGGGCUGAGGCUAAGUGCUGACUCACCGAGUCAGACAUCCAAUGAGGAGGUGGUCGAGGUACGUGCUCGAGUCGCCUACGCACGAAAGAAAAACUGCCACUGUUGUUUACAUUAAUGUUCAGGUUUAGGCAUAACGUCGCAGGCACAGCAACUAGUGACGGUCUUGCAUUGUAGCAGCUGCUGAUGCUGCCAUCUACUGACAGAAAGAGUGUACUUCCUGGUGUACUAGAGGAGAUCAAGAAAACCCUUCAUCAUUCACUGGAAGCUGUUGCCAAGUUCUGCUGACCAGGAAGAUUCUCCAGUACAAUGCUGCCUCAGAAGAUAGAAAACCUGAAUCAUUCGCAGGGAGCGAGGUGGGGAAUUAAGGACGACUUUGGCUUGUGUCAUGACAACUACAGGUCCUCUCUGAUACAAAGAUCACCAUUUAAGGCAGCCAUCGUAUGAAGCAGGGAUGUCUCGGAUGUCGAGAAAAAUUAUCUGAAAUCGUUCCCUGGAACAAACUCCAAAUUUCUUGCACUCAAUUCUCCAGAAUGAGCCUGCACCCAGAGCACUCAAUUCUCCAGAAUGAGCCUGCACCCAGAGUGCUACAACCUGUUCUCUGAACGAAUCAUUAAAUUCUCACGGUCGAUUCCCUUGAACGAGUCCCGUUCUGCAAAGUGCCACUAUGCGUUCUCUCUAACAAACUAAAAACCGUUCUCUGAAAUGAAACCUUAAAUUCUCAUGCUCGAUUCCCCGGAACAGGCCCGCACCAAGAGUGGUACAACCCGCUCUACGGAGCAAACCCCUAAUUCUUGUGCUCAGUUUCCCCUGGAUGAGCCCGUACUACCUAGUGUCACCAUACAAUGUUUCAAGUACCCCAGAACCGGUCCACAUAUCAAACCUCCAACUUUGUGCUCGAUCCGGAACGAGCCCGCAUGCCCAUGCCACUACCUAUUCAUCUGAAUUAACCUGAACCGUUUCCCGAAACAAAGUCUUACAUGAACUGUGAUAUACCGCACCUUAAGGGACUCUCCAAGUCCACACCAUCUACAACUUGACCUUAAGUUAUCCCGAUCCACACGUUACGUACCCAAAUUGCCCAACUGUACCCUGCCCACGUCAGAGUGCCAUCUCCACUCUGUGCCAUUGCUUGCCCAGCUAACCCUUCUCCUAUCCCCCAUAUUUUUUCCCUUCGACUCCCUAAAACUCCAGCACCAUGCAGGCCGAAGACUACAAAGCUUUCAUGGUUGAUGAAUGAGAGGCAGGAGAUAGAAGCCAAGGAAUCCCCCAAUAUGUCCGCCGAGUGCUGUUGCUUGGUGGAUGGUUGGGACACCUUCCAUCUCUUUGCCAGCUCCUUGGGAUGGAAAAUCAGUCCUUCUUAUUACACCUCCAGGUCAACUCAGCCCAAGAAUGAGCAUCCUGUGUGCAGCCAUUGCUAAAAGAUUGGCCACCCGACUAACCAGUGCCGCCUGAACGCUGAGGCCCAGCUGAAGGCCCCUAUUAAUAGUUCCAAAGCAGGACCACUCCCAUCUGAGCCACUCCUCGCUCUUGGGUGAACAACAGCCGGCCUGCUCUCCCCACAAGGCAGUGCCAAGGAAAGACUUCAGCUAGGAAACUUGUAAGGACUGUGGCCAGAAGGGGCACAUGUCUGUGAGGUAUCGGUACUGUCUGAAAUACUCCGCUUCGAAAGCAGUCCACACCACUGUCAGUUCCUGAACGGAUAGGCCUUGACACCGUGGCACAUAGCAGCCCUCAAUGGCUCCACCCCACCUCGAAUGCUGCCCAACAUUAUCGACACUUAGUCAGAAGUCAGCAUGCUCACUCGGGAGCAUGUACCUCCUGGUGCCACCAUCCACGAAUAAGAGCGGAUGACAGUUUGCUGAGGCAACGGCAACACAAAGGGCCUCCCUACUGUUAAAAGUACAAAUUAAACAGAAUAAGUAUUUCAUCAACACUGGGCAAGCAUCCAAGCUAUACUCAUUCAUUUUACGUGAAAACUCACGGAAUAACACUGGACUGAAAGUUCGGUGAUUGCCAGAUCGAAAGAUUUUUCUUCACAUAAUCUUUUAGAAUCCACUGUUAUACGCCCUGGGAUGUACUAUUUGGGCCCCUGUAUUAGUAAAAUAUUCAAGAAUGACCUAAAAGAAAAAAACAUUGACUUAAUUACAAAUAGUUACCUUAUAUAUGUUUUCUAUGUAUUCGUAUGUUUAAUAGUUUUUGGUAAAAAUGUUCACCUUUGAAAUAUUAUUGUUUACCAAAUGGAGAAUUGUUGAGUAGUACUUUUAUAAAGUUUUUGGUGGUCAGUCACCUUCCUUGUAUAACCUUUAAU